CGGGAUGUAGUGAAGUGGCAUAACCGCUGUUUUGGGAACAGUAAUCGUCGGUUCGAUUCCGGCUAUCCCGACCA
rnacentral:tRNA from 1 species